UUAAAAUCUCUCUUGUAGGGAACAUUCACCCUUUUCCCUCUAAUUUUGUUGAAUUUGGGGAAGUUCGAGCUACAUGUGAAGAUCAAAUUCAUUAUUGGAUAGUUAUAUUUAUUGAUAUAUGUAACUAAUGCCUUGUGGCAUAAUCUGACGGACGCUUAUUGUGCAGUACUGCAGUUUGAUACCGUUCCAUCAACUCAUGCGGCUUCUCAUUCGAGUGACAGAUCGAAGGAGACUGAUCAUAAGACUCUACGAAGGCUUGCUCAGAACCGUGAGGCAGCAAGGAAAAGCCGGUUGAGGAAAAAAGUCUAUACUCUGAGGAAUGCGCCUUAUGCGAGUGAGGAAAUUGAUGUGGUUCGUGAGCAAUGGGCUAAGAUUUUUACCAGCAAAUAUUUAUUAUUGGCC